CGUGUAGGCGGGUAGACAAGUCAGAUGUGAAAUACCGGGGCUCAACUCCGGGGCUGCAUUUGAAACUGUAUAUCUUGAGUGUCGGAGAGGAAAGCGGAAUUCCUAGUGUAGCGGUGAAAUGCGUAGAUAUUAGGAGGAACACCAGUGGCGAAGGCGGCUUUCUGGACGAUAACUGACGCUGAGGCGCGAAAGCGUGGGAGCAAACA
rnacentral:rRNA from 1 species